GAGCCGUGAGUGACUUGAGCGACUGAAACAGAGCAGUGACUAAAGAUAGUUCUCCUUGGUUUUCCCAUGAUUUAUCACAAGCGAGUUCACAGCAGGUUAAAAUAAUUGAAUGUGGUGAUCACACACAUACGGGCAUGGCUUUAUGAGCCGUCAUUCAUAACAUAUUUGUCACAAAGCAUAAUUUCCAUGAUAGAAACUCUGAUUCACACGCAACGCUGUUGCAGCGACGACAUAGUGGAAGUAACUCCUUCGUGGAGGCUGGCGAUGUUAGCUCAAUGUCCAGGCUCCAGCUCCAGCUUUGGGGAAAAGACAGCAAGGAAGUGACUGUGUCCCAGGCGAAUAUGUGUGAUUCUUUACACUGUCUCACCCACUCUCUUGCACGACUUUCCACUAAGGACGAGUGUGGGAAGACAAGAAGUUUCAUCUUCAUCACAAAUUCUCUCAAGAGAGAUUGAUCUAUUGGACCCAGAAAUAUGGAAAGCUAAGAGUCCUUUGAGGUGAUGUUCUCGCCGAGCCUUCAGUUCCAUGUGUCUUGCUGAGGAGGAGGCUUGCCUUCCAUGUCCUUCUACGGAGGACUCAUCAGAGGUUCCAGGGCAUCCAUCUGCACUUCUUCAGGCUUGCAGAACCACCUGCAGCAUCGCGAGGUUUGAAAGCCACCGCCCUCACAGUGCCUUGCACGUUGGCAUGCUGGUUACUGGAUGCGGUUGCAUUGAAACGUGCUGCAGCACUCAGGCAUCCUGUUAAGUGUCUUUCUCGUGUCUUCAACAUCAGUCCCCACCAGAAUCCGUUAUGGAAACCGAAGUCUGAGAUGGAGGCGUCAGCAGGUUCCAUCCCUGAUACACAGCACAAUGACAGAAGGGCCGGGCACAUUUUACUAGUCCCAUUUUACAAAUAUUAAAAAUGAGGCCCAAAGAGAUUAGAAGUGUGGUAAAUUCAAACAGCUAAAAAGGUCACCCAACCUCAGAUCUAUCACCUUGUACGUGGACAUUGGUUCGAAGGCUGGAUGGAAGUUUAGAACAAACCUACAUAGAUCCUGCAAGAUAUUCCAAAAACGUCAUCCAUAUCCUUUGUCUCCAGAAUAAAAAUCAAAGAAUAGUAACCAUAUUAGCUAGGGGCAGUGACAGGGAAAUGUCUGAUGUCCCCAAGGGUUCCAUCCAAUCCCCUGCUCUCAUCUGUGGCUUGGUCCUGACCAAAGAGUUACAGAUGGCAAGGAUAGAGCGUCUGGGGCCAGCCAUGGGGCUGUGUUAUGACGGGAAAUUGGCAUCUUGCCAAACUGGGCCCCACCUCUGUCCUUCUGCAAGAUCCUAGCCCACUGGGGCUGACUGAAUUAUUUAAAUGUUGUACAUUACUACUUAAUAGACACAACAUAUUGAAAGUUUUACAAUCAAAUAUUUAUGCUGCUGGAAAGCAUUUUACAUUAUCUUUAAACAGCCAUGUCAUCUAUUUAUUUUCAUUCUCUGAUCUUUCUGUUUUGUAUCAGAAUUGGAGAAUUUAGCCUAUUUACCCAGAAGUAAAUAUUAUGAUGAAAACAUUGGGUGGCUCAGAAGUAGACUUAGUCAAACGCAGAAGUAUUUUUUGUUAGUGUCAAUUGCACAACAGCAUAAAUGAAGACUGAGAUCCUUGAAGAAUGGAGGUUAAGUACUUUGUGGCUAGACACUGCCUCCACCUGCCUGACCCUGGGUGGAGCAGCAACUAAACCAUUGCUUCUGACCGUGAACUUCCUUUCAGCCAUGAGGCAAACUUCUCCUGGGCCAGAGGUGCCAUUUGCAGGUGACUCUAGUUGAACCUUGGGCUGCAAGUUAAAGCUCCAGUCUGAAGUAGCCUGUUUGGUAGUUCAUGGUCACCAAGACCUCAGCUUGACCUUGGCCUUUUAUUCCAGAUGCUUCUAACUUCUAAAUGCUUCUCCCUAACUCUGUUCUGUGUGGCUGUGUAGGUAGCACUGAAGAGCUGGUAACUCUGCUUCGGAACUACCCUAUCCUGCCCUUGAGAGAGCCCAGUCAAUAUCUCUCCUUACGGCCACCUAGGAGAGACAGGCCCCUCCCUUGCGUAUCUGGUGUUUGAUUCAUUUCCGAAGAAGAGUCUGAAAGACACAGGGGAGCAGCCAGGAUGAUCCUCAAAGGACUACAAAAGCACCAUCUCCCCAACUUCUGAUUUUCAUUGACCAGGACCUAAUUUCUUCCUUUGAGGCUGCUCCCUUCCCCCACCGUUAUCCAGUUUUCCAAGCCCCAGCUGGACUCCUAGCGGGGGUCUCACUUCUGUCUCACUCCAGACUUUGAAGGUUGGGUAAUCUGCACUUCAUGGCCUGUGUGGAUCAGGAGCCUCAUGAGUUUGGAGUGAGUAAUGGCUCUGUUGGAAUCCAGGCCACUUUCCCAGUGGCCUGAAGCAGUCCUCUAACCUCCUAGAACAUCAUUUCUUCCCCUUCGUUAGGAGGGUAGCGCAUAGAUCAUAGGAUCACUAUGAGGAAUUAAUGAGGAUUAUCCAAAAAGUGUCUUGUGCUGUGUUUGGCCCAGAGUGAGCACUCAUCAGUCCAGUAACGGUGACUAUUAUAGUUACUAUUUGUGGUACAGAUGGCCAGGCUUCCUGGAAGAUCCUCCCAGUCUUGGUUUCCUCCACUUCUUUCUAAUAAUGAACAUUAACUCCUCGGCAGUGGUUCCCAACUACUAGAAGACAUGGGAGCUAGACGCAUGAAAGAAAAAGGAGAGGAAAAGAAAAAAUAGGAGGAAAACACAGAUUAGAAAAAUCUAAGCUUUAAAAGAUUAUUCAUUAGGUUAAAAAUACGUGUUCAAUAAAUAAAAAGUUAAAAAGAAGCCCCUUUCUUUAGAAAAGAGGAGACACAAAUGAGAUGGAAACUUGCAAACUGGCAAGUGCUCUAUGGAUGUCAAAAAUCCUGGUGCAAUGGUCCAUGAGAAGGGCGGGCAUGGGGCACAGCAUCCUGUGUCAGUGGCUGGGGUUCAAGUCCCGGCUGGGCCUCUGAGUCCAACUUCUUGCCAGUGUUCACCCUUCAAGACAGUAGAUGAUGGCUUAAGUACUUGGGUCCCUGCCAUCCACAUGGAAGGCCUGGAUUUUGUUCCCUUCUUCCCAGCUGAGUGUUUCAACCUCCCUCCCUCUCUCUUUCUCUCUCUCUCUCUCAUAAACAAAUUUUUAAGAUUUCUUUUUAAUGUUGGGGGGUGAGCAUUUGGUGCGGCAGUAGGAAUGUUGCCUGGGAUACCAGCAUCCCAUAUCAAAGCACCUGGAUUCCAUUCUCUGCUCUUCUCCCAAUUCUAGCUUUCUGCUAAUGUGCACCCUAGGAGGCAGCAGGCAAUGGCUCAGGCAUUUGGCUACCUUCCACCCAUAUGUGAGACCUGGAUUGAGUUCCUAGCUCCUGGCUGUGGCCUGGCUGUGGCCCAGCUCCCAGGUGUGGCGGAUAUUUGCAGACUUAAUUGGAGGAUGGACAAUCUCUGUCUCUUUCUCUGCUUCUCUUUCAAAUACAUAAAAAUGACUAAAUUCAUUUUCUUUUAAAAACUAGCUGGAGCUGAGUAGCAAGUAUCCUUUUGAAAGAACAAAAAAAUUUAAAAAGAGUCCAUGUGAACACUACAGGUCUCAGCUUCCUGAUCUAUAAAGGGAGAUGGUCCAACCAGAUUCAUUCAACAAACACUUAGAAGCAUGGCUAGAGUGCCUGCUCUGUACCAGUCACAAUUCUAGACAGGGAGGUUCUAAAGGGGUGCAAGUGAGACACAGUUCCUGCUUGCAUUCCAGUAGUGGAGACGGAAAAACCAAAGUGGAUUGAAAUAAGAUCAACACAGUUCAUGAUAAGCAACUUGAAGAAAAUGAAGUGGAAAGAGAGAGAGAAAGCAGUUGGGAGGAGCAGGCUACUGAAGAAUGGAGGACCAGACAAGGCCUCUCUGCAAAGCUGGGACUUAGGGGAAUGGAGUCCAUGCUUGCAACCGUGUGCAAGGCUGUUCUAGGCAACAAGGACAGCAAAUGGCCACAGGGAGUGUGCAGAAGGACGGAGGGCAAUGUGGUUGGGAGACAGCAUGACCAGCAGGUGCCAGACUGGAGAACAGCAAGGAGCAGAGGGGAUUGAAAGCACUGGUCAAGGGAGAUGAUUUCAAUAAAAGGAUUAUUUACGAGGACGUGAAUGGGGUGGGGCAACCAUAAAGCGAAGUAGAAUGCCAUGGUCACAGCAGGCAGCUGGGACAGCAGGAAACUCUGAUGGCCCCUGGUGUGACAGGAAGAGAAGGGUGUGGUCACUGGGACUCCCAGAGAAGGAGCUGAGAGGGACACAGGCUGGGGUUCCUGGGAUAGGAUGCGAUGGCUCCACCCUUCCCCCUUCUGAUCCUUGCCAGAACUACCCAAUAGCAGAACACACCAGAAGUCAAAGGGCCUGGUACUGUGGGCAACCCUCCCUCUCCUCCCACGGGAUCCCCCACAGUCCAGAGUAGGACAGAGAAAGGAGGAAAAUGUGGAGGCAGCCAGAGGAGCUGUCAGGGGCAGCCAGAACAGCCAUGACGAGGAGUUGAGUUCCAUUCUAAGGGCAUCAGGAAGCCUUGGGAGUUGUGCUCGUGUAAGCAAAGGAGUUCAACUUGAAACUAAUUUGUGCUAAGAAGCUCAUUCUGGCUGCUGAGUGGCGAAAGGGCUUAGGAGGAGCAAGAUCGGAUGUUGGAGCUAUCUAGCAGGUGAUGGCGUCGUCCAAGUAAAAAAUGCAUGCUGAUGUGAUCUAGCACAGAGUUGGAAGACGAAGAGAAGUAAAUGAACUUACAGUAUAACGCUGGGAAAAAUAUAAAAAUUAUAAAACACAGCUUCUACCACUGCCAUGAGCUAAAGGAGAGCCUUCCAACAACGCUAACGGAAAACAAGAACAAAUGUACGCCAUCCCUGUUCCUACAGAAAGCUCUGGAACCUCCGUGCCAGUGCCUGCUAGUGCUGCUUGUACAGUGCAAAGUGCAUGGGGAUAAAUUUACCAGCUCUGUGAUGUUUUUAUUAAUAAGAAGGAGACAGGAAAUAAAAAGAGUUUCCCAAGCCCGGCACAUAGAAAAAUGAUUUGUCCAGUCGACCUGAUAAAUAACAAAUAGUAAAGUCUUCUAGUUUUAUUGUUGGCAUUAUCAUAAAGAACACGCCGUGCUUAUUAUCUGGUUAAAGGGGUUUCAUUCUGUGUGAUGUCGACGUGAGUUACAGUCUUUAAUAAACAAAUAACAUCGGUAUUAUUCUAAUUCCAUAGCCAUGAAUGUUUGUCGAACUUGCUCCCUCCCUCACUGUGUGUUUCUCUCCCUCUCUCUUUCUCUAGUGAUGUUUUGUCAAACAUCAGAAAUACUUUGGCUGUGUCCUCCAGUGUGGGCCAUUUCCAACAAAAUAGUUGUAGCGCUGUUUCCUAAUUCCACCGAUACCUCUUCUAGGAUCAGCUACGCCAGUGAUGAAUAGCACCAUACUAACGUCAAGUCAUCAGUUCACUCCUGGGAAGUUCCAGUAGCCCAUAAAUCUCUUGUGGAGGUCAUUAAAUUCAUAUUCUUAUGUAAGUACCCUCCGACAGCAAUGGAAGGAGCUUUGAAAGGAAGAAAAAAGUCAACCAUGUUCAAUCCCCAAGAGAUUCUAGAAGACAAAGAAUGUUACGUGUCUGCUGGAUACCUCGGUGAUCUCUAGUCAUCCUGGCACCUUCCAAGAACACGAAGAAGCAAACACAGUUGAAGAGUUUGCACCAUGCACGUCGUCCCUUACCCAAUACUGAGUGGCAAGUAUGAGUCUCUGCAGCACACAUCUCCGUCUUCCUUCCUCUCCACGGCCAGCAAGUCACAGCAGUGAGACCUGAAUCCAGUGCAAGCUAACUUGAGCAGUGUCGUUAUGUCGUAUGGAGCUGGAACAGUGAGAAUGGUUGGUUCACAUGCUGAUACAAUGCUCCUUGUUGGUUUCUGGUCUAUACUCCUCACCAUCCCUCUCCAGUAACAGAAGCAAGGACACAGAAAAACAAAGAGGCCUGGCUUUUCCGCACAGUGGCCUGGCCCUCUAGUGUACACAGCCCGCCCCAAUGGCUGUAAAUCUGAGUUAGAAAAUUGUGUUCCCUUUUCCUGGGCAGGAGCUAGGUGGGGAGAAGUGCCCAAAGAGAGAAAAAGGUGAAAAGCAUUGCCAGAAGACAGGAAGAAGAGGCUACAACAGAUAUUUUCAACUGAAAACUACUUUCUUACAUUUGUUUAAAUUUAAGUCUUUGUUUAAAUUAAGCAAAAGUGUUUUUAUAUUCACUUUCAUGAAAGAAAGCAGGCUAUAUUAAUAGCAUGGUUGACAUGAGUUCCAGCUGAGAUUUCAUGACAUUAACUAGUACUGGACAAUAAAGACUCUGGAUUUCUGGUUUGCUGGGAGCUUGUGGGUGACCCACCAUUAGAUUCUUGACCCGUAGGGGUCUCAGACCUUAUCUGUCUCAUCUUUAUAUCCCUUACAAUGCUAGAACACAGUCUGUGCUUAAUAAAUAUUUCUGGAAUUGAAAUAAAUUAAUAGGCUGAAGCUGCAUUCCUUAAAUAGGUAAUUCCUCAAAUAGGUUACUUGGUGAUAUGUAGUUCAUCUUCCCCACCAGAUUCUUGAUAGAACUUCUUGACAGAUCAGAGGAUAAAUUUCAUAGCAGAGGACACGAUAUUGGGCCAGUUGAGGUCUCACUCAGCUUGCAGACAUGUACUGUUGGCCCCAGGGAUGGAUGGACCAUUCAGUUAACCAAGCUUAAUUUCCAGGCUCCUCUCCCAUUCCAGCUUGCAUAAGCUCUGUGCAUGCAGGGAGAGGCUGGGGGUUUUUGAGAGUUCCCAGUGUUAAGCAGAAGCCAGGAUGUAACCAGGAAGCAUUUCUAUGUUACUAUUUCCAGUCAGUUGAAGACUGCAUCUUGGGAUAAAGGAACUGACUCCCUCAUGCUCCUGCUGGUUGUGAUUUCAUUUCUCAUUCUAUGUCAAUGUCACUCUUGCACUAGACAUAUUUAUAAUUUUGCAUUAUUUGUUAAAGGGCCUGGAUAAGGCUCAGAUCUUGCAACAGGGAUAUGCCCCCUGAUUUGACUGUAUUUUAAAGAAUUUACUUUCUAUUACUGACAGAUGUUCAGAAUUUUGAAAACCAGUAUGUUUGGGGCUGUCAUUGUGGUGCAGUGAGCUAAGCCGCUGCUUGCAAUGACAGCACACCAUAUCAGAUUGUUAAUCCACUUCCUGAUAAUGCACCUGGGAAAGCAGCAGAAGAUAACCAAAGUACUUGGGCCCCUGCCACCCAUAUGGAAGACCAGGAUGGAGUUCCUGGCUCCUGACUUCAGCCUGGCCCAAACCUAGCCAUUGUGGCCAUUUGGGAGUGAGCCAACAAAUAGAAGUUCCCCCCCCUUUCCCUCUGUGUGUGUGUGUGUGUGUGUGUAUCUCCCUCUCUCUCUGUUGUUUUGCCUUUCAAAUAAAUGAAUAAAUGCAUAAAUCAUAGAAAAACAGUAUUUAACAUUACAACCUGAAUUUCCAAUUUCUUUGAGCUACUGGAGGAAGAUAUGGCAGGAAGGAUCUGUGUUCCCCCCCACAUGGUUACCAUGAACCAUAGUCAUGAAUGGGUCAUGGCUGCCCCACUUGGACAAGGCACCUGCUGUCCAGUUUGUUGCAUGUAACCACCUCACUCCUCCAUUUCCCUUAUCAACUCAUUUGAGUUUGCAAACUUGUCUGUGCACUGCAUGAAUACAGGGCACUUGUGAAAGUGACUUACAUAGAUUGCUAAAGGCUUUUUCAACAAACACGUGAAAGAGGAACAAAUACCGCCUGAACUGCUUAUGCAUCAGAGGUACAAAAGCCAAAAGAGAAAGUAGAUGUAAAGGAUUGCAGUCUCUCUCACUCUCUCUCUCUCUCACAUACACACACACACACAUAAACGCACACACACACACAGGCUCUCCCAACCUGCAGAGGAAAACACCUGACUUGUCCAUAGUUGACCAGACAUGACCAAACUGCCUGUGGUUGUAAUUUGUGACACAAGAUAGAUAACUAAAGGUGGUAAAGCCAAGAAAGUCCUGACACAGUGAAGAUACAGGAUUGCUUUCCAUGAUCGUGACUGCCUGCAGGUGUCUGAGGAAGGGGAAUUAAAGAAGCAACAGCUGAAGAGCACGCCAGGACCAGUUGUUUUGGA